rnacentral:lncRNA from 1 species
UGGGGGGAAACAGGGAAGGGAGGUAACUGCUGAUGGAUGCUGGUUUUGAAGGGACGGUCAUGAGGAUUGCUUGAGGUCAGGAGUUCAAGACCAGCCUAGGCAACAUUUGCUGGGUGUGGUUCUGUGCAUCUGUUCUGGAAUUAGAUAAUGAAAUGGUUUCAUACCUUGUGAACAUGCUAAAAAAAUCACUGAAUUGUCACAAGAGUGAAUUUUAUCAUAUGUGAAUUAUAUCUCAAUUUUUAUAAAAUUAACUUCUGGCUUCUCACAGGUGCUACAUUAAGGAAAGCAAAUCACUAAUUCAGGGCACCUAAGCUCAUCAUCAAGGACCCAAGUAAGGAAAUAACAAUGCUCAGCAAAUCAUCAGGGAGACCAGAUUGGUUCUUGAAACUCUAGAAGCAUUCUAAUAUCAUCCAUGCCAAUCUCUAACAGAGUAUUUGAAGCAGAAGAAAAACAAGCGAUGGGAAUGACUCCUUCCCUGGAUGCCUGCCUUCCAUCUCCCAAUACACCUAAAAGAGCAGUUUUGACAGGUCUGAGCCGUACUGACCAAGAAGAAAUAGAACAGAAAAACAGGAGAGAUGUUAAAAGGCGUUUCUACAAAAGGUGUUUGAAUCUGUCAGAUGUUGGAUUUCAAUCAGUGACCCACCACUUUUCAGGAUGAAUCAUCAAAAACAGGGAAAUUCUCAUAAACCUUCCCAAGAGGAACUAGGUUUGAAUACCACCCACCAGAGGCCAUAAGACGCAAGUGAUCCUCCUGGAGAACUGCCAGCACACAGGAAAAUCAGUUUCCAUGGGCAGACACCACUUCCAAACAAAGCAAAACAAAAGUCAUGACACUUGUAUUCUCUAAUAAC